rnacentral:rRNA from 2 species
GGACUACUAGGGUUUCUAAUCCCGUUUGCUCCCCUGGCCUUCGUGCCUCAGUGUCAGGAACUGUCCAGAGAUCCGCCUUCGCCACUGGUCUUCCUCAUGAUAUCUACGCAUUUCACUGCUACACCAUGAAUUCCGAUCUCCUCUCCAGUCCUCGAGCACUGCAGUAUCAAGUGCAGUUCCGGGGUUAAGCCCCGGGAUUUCACACCUGACUUACAGCACCACCUACGCACCCUUUACGCCCAAUGAAUCCGAACAACGCUUGAGACCUCUGUAUUACCGCGGCUGCUGGCAC